GACGAACGCUGGCGGCGUGCCUAAUACAUGCAAGUCGAACGCAGUGGGGACGGGUGAGUAACACGUGGGUAACCUCCCAUCAGAGGGGAUAACACUUGGACACAGGUGCUAAACCGAUACUGAUGGAUGGACCCGCGGUGCAUUAGCUAGUUGGUGAGUUAACGGCCUACCAAGGCCACGAUGCAUAGCUGACCUGAGAGGAUGAUCGGCCACACUGGGACUGAGACACGGCCCAGACUCCUACGGGAGGCAGCAGUGGGGAAUAUUGGGCAAUGGACGAAAGCCUGACCGAGCCAUGCCGCGUGUGUGAAGAAGGUCUUCGGGUCGUAAAGCACUUUUGUUAGAGAAGCGGUACCUACCGAGAAAGCCCCGGCUAACUCCGUGCCAGCAGCCGCGGUAAUAC
rnacentral:rRNA from 1 species